GCCCAGGUGGCGGAACUGGCAGACGCGCAAGGUUGAGGGCCUUGUACCCGUAAGGGCGUGGGGGUUCGACUCCCCCCCUGGGCACCA
rnacentral:tRNA from 2 species